rnacentral:rRNA from 1 species
AGCGAACGCUGGCGGCAGGCCUAAUACAUGCAAGUCGAACGGCUCUUCGGGGCAGUGGCGGACGGGUGAGUAACACGUGGGAACGUGCCCCUUGGUACGGAACAGCUGAGGGAAACUUCGGCUAAUACCGUAUGUGCCCCCAUUCUUAGCGGGAUGGGUGGGAAAGAUUUAUCGCCAUUGGAGCGGCCCGCGUUGGAUUAGCUAGUUGGUGGGGUAAAGGCCCACCAAGGCUACGAUCCAUAGCUGGUCUGAGAGGAUGAUCAGCCACACUGGGACUGAGACACGGCCCAGACUCCUACGGGAGGCAGCAGUAGGGAAUCUUGCGCAAUGGGCGAAAGCCUGACGCAGCCAUGCCGCGUGAAUGAUGAAGGUCUUAGGAUUGUAAAAUUCUUUCACCGGGGAAGAUAAUGACGGUACCCGGAGAAGAAGCCCCGGCUAACUUCGUGCCAGCCGCCGCCGUAA